rnacentral:rRNA from 1 species
UACGUAGGGUGCGAGCGUUUGUCCGGAAUUAUUGGGCGUAAAGAGCUUGUAGGCGGUUUGUCGCGUCUGCUGUGAAAUUUCGGGGCUCAACCCCGAACUUGCAGUGGGUACGGGCAGACUAGAGUGUGGUAGGGGGAGACUGGAAUUCCUGGUGUAGCGGUGAAAUGCGCAGAUAUCAGGAGGAACACCGAUGGCGAAGGCAGGUCUCUGGGCCACUACUGACGCUGAGAAGCGAAAGCAUGGGGAGCGAACAGG